UUGGGGAUCAAAAAAAAGUGCUUGCAGGUGGAGGGAAAACUCUUCAGCUGAACUCUGGUGUCAGGAGUAACGUGCGGUGUGUGGCGCAUCUGGUCUUGUUUCAGCUGGUACUGUACAAGGUCAAAUCCUCUAACGCCUAGAAGGACCAUAAGUGGCUCCAAAGACAGGGGAAUGAAUCAGACUGUUUCUCCUGCCCAGAGAGAGCCAGGAUGCAGAUGCAUUAUGCGGGGAGAUGGGAGACAGAGCACAGACCUGCAGAGGCCGCCACACCAGCAUAAGGGGAAACUGAGUAGUCGCUGGAGGGGUGAACUCCGAUCAAGCCCCAUAGGCCAGGGUGCUGUACUUACAUGUGGUAAGAGUCGAGACAGCCCCUGCCUCAGAGAGUUUACAGCCUCAAUGGACAAGAGAGACAAAGGCUAGGAGAAAAGAAGAAUUAUCAUCCCCCUUUGACAUAUGAGGAAUUGAGUCACAGCCAGCUUCAGUGACUUGUAGAGUUGGUUUGAGAAAUUUCCACAGAAUCCUAUUCCUUCAGAAGAUGCGAUUCCUUUGAAAUCAAAGUCUUGCGAAAUCGGGUUGCUUUUGCCUGAAUUUUGUUUAGGAAGAAAACCAGAGGGGAAAAAAAGUUCUGACCUUGCUGAAACGUCCUGGUUUGACGUUUUCUGACUGGAACAUUUUGAUUUUUCAUUUUUAAAUGAUUUUGUUUUGAAUUGUUUAGCUUUUGUACUAUAUUAUGUAAUACAAAAUUGAAACAGAACAUUUCAAUCAUCCCCAUACACAAAAUGCCUGGCCUGCUGCUUCAUGAGGAAUUUCAAAAUUCGGGGGUUCCAAUUUGGAACCAAACCAAAUUUAGAAAUCUUGAAAUUCUUCGGGAAACCGAACUUCCAUCCUCUAGUGACUUGCCAACGGUUCCCCAGGAAGACCCAGAGAGCUCACACCCUGCCAGCCAGUAGAAUACAAACAUGAAGAUCAGAGGCAGGGAGGGAGACAUGGAAGAGAGAAGUCAUCUGUGCGUCCUGCUCCCCUUCCUUCCUGACCCUGCAGCGGUCCCUCAGCCGGGGCUCCCAGAGACUGGGGUUCAUGGGAUCUAAGCAGUGGAAGAGGAAAGGGGGCAGGAUGGCUGGUGCGUUUACCUCAAUUGAAUUCAAUUUCCUGCUCUGCCACAGACUCCCUGUGCCACCUUGGCUGAGGGACUUCGUCUCUCUCCAUGUUCCAGUUCCCCAUUUGUAACAUGGGGAUAACGCCCCACCGCCUGGGGGUGUUGGGAGAGUGUUACAUUAAAGAUUGUAAAGGUGCUCCGAUACUACAGAAGUAUCUACCCUCCCAGGCAGGAGAUACCCCGUUAGAUAGAUUUAUAUACUGCCCCAGCAUGUGAGGCAGGGAACUGCCUGAGCCAGCCAACAGCAGAUUGCCAAGGAGAGAGGAGUGUCUAAAGCCUGCCCUUCUCAACGAGUUAGGCCCCUACGUCCCUGUGAGGGUCUGGGCCCUAGAUGCUGCAGGGAUGGGUGCAUUACAAAUGCCUUAGACCAGUGGUUCCCAACCCUUUCCUUGGCAGAACCCCCCUCCCACCUAGUCGGGAGCCCCUCUCCCAUUUAGCAAUUUGGGAAGGGCAGGAGGGUGCGAGCCCCCAGAGCGAGAAUACAUCUGCCCCUAUCGUAGUACUGCUUCCAGGAGUAUUAGGUCAGUCUCCCUCCUCUCUGGGACUAGCUCUUGGGCAAGCUGUCAGUUGCUUGCCCACUGGCCUCGGUGCUGCUAGGAGAGCAGGUAGGGAGCAAAGAGGCAUGAAGGGGAGAGCAAGUAUUUUCCCUGCAGAUCCGGGGCCUUUGUGGGUCCUGGGAGGCCUCACCCCCUGCUGCUUCUACUACCCUCAUGUCCCCACCAGCCAGGAGAACAAGGCGCUGAGUAUGGGGAAGAGUUAAUGGACACUUGACAAGACGAAUUUUGCUGAGUUUCCAGGCCUUUCAAAGCCCAUCCCCCGAGUAUCAGCUGUGGGUGGGGCGAGGCUAGGCCAGCCUUUCCAGGGCUGUAGUAGCAUUUCAACAUGUACAGUCUUUAUUA